AUUUGUGCGCGAGUACUUUUAUCAUGCCAGCUGAAGGUUCAUUUUUGCGCGUGUGAAAUAACAUAAUGUGCUCGUGAGCAUGUCUUACACGCUCAUAACUUUUGACUAAAAAAUAACGCCAUAUUUUUUUCAGCAGCGCGGUCGCGGGAAGAUUUCACACAUUCCACGGUAUUAUAGCGGCUACAGGCGGGAAAUCUCUGGGAUCCUUCGUUAAGAAUUACAUGCUACAUGUUAAAGCGGUUAACGUACGCAGCGAGAUGUGCGAGUACCUUUAAUAACUUGCUAAUUCGCUUAUUGUUUGAUUGUAAUGCUUUUUGCUAACUUUGGUUUAUAGAAUGAGUUAAUCCAGCCCAUCUUGCUGUCUGGCCCUUUCGCAGCAUAUAUUCACUCCGGAGUAACGUUAACCUUACCGGGAGGAGACAGACGGAGAUUUGGAGUUCAUUCAAAGAUAUUUAUCCUGAGAGAGGAACAAAGAAGUUGAAAGGAAAAAACAACAGGGCAAAUGGUACAGAAGAAACCAGUUGAAGUGAACCCAAGUUGCCACUCUUCUUUACAAAGUGCAAGAUUUUCAGCGGAAUUUCAGAAAUCCACUCUUUGCAUCCUUGGAUGGGACAGCAUCUGGAACUGUUUUCCUUUUUUGUUAAGAAGUUUUGUUGGAUUCACUUGGGAACAAGGUUUGUUGUUUGGUCAUGUUGGACUGUUCAUGAAGUUGUGAAAAUUUAUCACUGUCUUUGUGGUAUUUACAACCAUUUAAUUAUGACCAUGUUGGAUAACUUGAUGUUGAUUUAACUUUGGCUAAACUUGAAGUUAUGCAGGGUACUAUAUGUUUCAAGUAAAUAUUUUUAUGCACAAUUUAUUUUGGAAUUCAAAAUAAUACAAAAUACAGGCUCUAUGACAUUUCUUUCAUGCAAAUUUGACAGUUAUAUGUCAAAUAAAAUUGGACCUGUUUUUUAAGAUUAAGAUGUCAAAUUAUUAUUUUUAUAUUAUUUUUAUUUAUUUUUUUUAA